CCUACGGGUGGCUGCAGUCGAGAAUCAUUCACAAUGGGGGAAACCCUGAUGGUGCGACGCCGCGUGGGGGAAUGAAGGUCUUCGGAUUGUAAACCCCUGUCAUGUGGGAGCAAAAUAAAAAGAUAGCACCACAAGAGGAAGAGACGGCUAACUCUGUGCCAGCAGCCGCGGUAAUACAGAGGUCUCAAGCGUUGUUCGGAAUCACUGGGCGUAAAGCGUGCGUAGGCGGUAUCGUAAGUCGUGUGUGAAAGGCGCGGGCUCAACCCGCGGACGGCACAUGAUACUGCGAGACUAGAGUAAGGGAGAGGGAAGCGGAAUUCUCGGUGUAGCAGUGAAAUGCGUAGAUAGCGAGAGGAACACUCGUGGCGAAGGCGGGUUCCUGGACAUUAACUGACGCUGAGGCACGAAGGCCAGGGGAGCGAAAGGGAUUAGAUACCCCAGUAGUC
rnacentral:rRNA from 1 species